AUGCCUCAGCCCCCUGAGCUCGCUGCCGUUGUCCACCGUGCAAACUUCGAUUUGGGCACCUUGGGCAGCGACAGCUUCGGCUUCUGCGUCGAUUGCUGCAACGGCCUCCUCCUACUCACCUCCUACCUGCACGACGGCCCACCAGUAAGAACAGUCCGAUGCCCGCUCUACCCUGGGAGAUACACGACCAUCCUCCCGCCAGUUCCGCAAACCAGCAGCAUCCAUGAUGACCGCUUCACAUACUACGACAGAGAGGUCAUCCUCAAAGGCGGCGACGACGGCCUGUCCUUCUUCUAUCUGGCAAUGGGCGUGGAAGGGCAGCAGACAAUUGUGGAUGUGUAA
rnacentral:rRNA from 1 species